UACGUAGGGGGCAAGCGUUGUCCGGAUUUAUUGGGCGUAAAGAGCGUGUAGGCGGCCAGACAGGUCAGCUGUGAAAACUCGAGGCUCAACCUCGAGACGUCGGUUGAAACCGUCUGGCUAGAGUCUGGAAGAGGAGAGUGGAAUUCCCGGUGUAGCGGUGAAAUGCGUAGAUAUCUGGAGGAACACCGGUGGCGAAGGCGGCAUCCUGGACCGAGAUUGACGCUGAGGCGCGAAAGCCAGGGGAGCAAACGGG
rnacentral:rRNA from 1 species